UAAACAGGUUUGUAGAGGUAGGCAGGCUCCUCCACGUGGCAAAAUAAUUAAGGAUAGAUCCGUGAGAAUGAAGAGAUGCAAAGGGUGAACAGUACUGAAACAUGAGAAUGGUAAUGAGACAGAUCUUGGCUACAGAGCAGCCGUUGUGAUGCACUACAAUAAGAGCUUCCAGCUUCCUGUAAGAAGCUCCAUCUAAUCAAGAAAAUUUGCAGCUUGUCUCCUCAAAGACAGAGGGCUCAGCCUUCUCUCUUUGAUGUCCAUGAGCAUUUCCUUUUGGCUUCAACAGAACAGUGACUGUAGCCCUUAGGCUAAUCGCCUGUCCUCUCAGGCUUUGCAGAAGGUGUGUGCUCAAGGCUGCAGGAGGAAGGAGAUACUUAGACCCGUUGCUUGUCUUUGCUCAUUCUCCCAAAAGGUACAUGUUUUUCUCUGUCUGCAGGUGCCUUCCUUUGUGGAGGAAGGCCAGGACACAGCUCCAACUCCUCC